rnacentral:rRNA from 1 species
UACAGAGGUCUCAAGCGUUGUUCGGAUUCAUUGGGCGUAAAGGGUGCGUAGGUGGCGCCGUAAGUCAGGUGUGAAAUUUCGGAGCUUAACUCCGAAACUGCAUUUGAUACUGCGGUGCUUGAGGACUGGAGAGGAGACUGGAAUUUACGGUGUAGCAGUGAAAUGCGUAGAGAUCGUAAGGAAGACCAGUGGCGAAGGCGGGUCUCCUGGACAGUUCCUGACACUGAGGCACGAAGGCCAGGGGAGCAAACGGG